rnacentral:lncRNA from 1 species
AGCUAUUGGCUAUUAAUCACUGCAUGAUUUAUUUAUUGAAGUACUAUUAUGUUGCUGGUAUAAUGAAGAUGGUCUCCAGUAAGUAUACCUCUCAAUGCACCACCCAGCUCAGGAUUUGAGAAGUCUUGCAUUCAAUCAAAUUAAAGUCAUCAAGAUCAGGAGGACGUUGUGCAUGUAUAACAAACAAUCCAGUAAUUUUUGUUUUGAUUUUUCAUCACGUUUUAAUAUAAUGCUCAGUUGUACCAAUCUA